rnacentral:rRNA from 1 species
AUACGGGGGGUGCAAGCGUUAUUCGGAUUUAUUGGGCGUAAAGAGCGCGUAGGCGGCUUGGUAAGUCAGAUGUGAAAGCCCGGGGCUCAACCCCGGAAGUGCAUUUGAAACUAUCAGGCUUGAGUAUGGGAGAGGGAAGUGGAAUUCCUGGUGUAGAGGUGAAAUUCGUAGAUAUCAGGAGGAACACCGGUGGCGAAGGCGACUCACUGGGCCAUUACUGACGCUGAGGUGCGAAAGCGUGGGUAGCAAACAGGAUUAGAUACCCUAGUAGUCC